rnacentral:rRNA from 1 species
AUGAACGCUAGCGGCAGGCCUAAUACAUGCAAGUCGAACGGGAUUCAGAGCUUCGGUUCUGAUGAGAGUGGCGCACGGGUGCGUAACACGUAUGUAACCUACCUUAAUCAGGGGGAUAGCCUCUCGAAAGAGAGAUUAAGCCCGCAUAAAAUAACGAAGUGGCAUCACUAUGUUAUCAAAUAUUUAUAGGAUUAAGAUGGGCAUGCGGAACAUUAGCUAGUUGGUAAGGUAACGGCUUACCAAGGCUACGAUGUUUAGGGGAUCUGAGAGGAUGACCCCCCACACUGGUACUGAGACACGGACCAGACUCCUACGGGAGGCAGCAGUAAGGAAUAUUGGUCAAUGGGCGGAAGCCUGAACCAGCCAUGCCGCGUGCAGGAAGACGGCCCUACGGUUGUAAACUGCUUUAUACGGGAAUAAACCUUCGUAUGUAUACGAAGCUGAAUGUACUGUAAGAAUAAGGAUCGGCUAACUCCGUGCCAGCAGCCGCGGUAAUACGGAGGAUUCCAAGCGUUAUCCGGAUUUAUUGGGUUUAAAGGGUGCGUAGGCGGCUUUUUAAGUCAGUGGUGAAAGACGGCAGCUUAACUGUCGCAGUGCCAUUGAUACUGAAGAGCUUGAAUGUACUAGAAGUAGGCGGAAUGUGACAAGUAGCGGUGAAAUGCAUAGAUAUGUCACAGAACACCGAUUGCGAAGGCAGCUUACUAUGGUAUUAUUGACGCUGAGCACGAAAGCGUGGGAUCAAACAGGAUUAGAUACCCUGGUAGUCCACGCCCUAAACGAUGAACACUCGAUGUUGGCGAUAUACGGUCAGCGUCUAAGCGAAAGCGUUAAGUGUUCCACCUGGGGAGUACGCCCGCAAGGGUGAACUCAAAGGAAUUGACGGGGGCCCGCACAAGCGGAGGAGCAUGGGGUUUAAUUCGAUGAUACGCGAGGAACCUUACCCGGGCUUAAAGUUAGUGAAUGUGGCAGAGACGCCACAGUCCUUCGGGACACGAAACUAGGUGCUGCAUGGCUGUCGUCAGCUCGUGCCGUGAGGUGUUGGGUUAAGUCCCGCAACGAGCGCAACCCCUGUGAUAGUUGCCAGCAUGUUAUGGUGGGGACUCUAUUCAGACUGCCUACGCAAGUAGAGAGGAAGGAGGGGACGACGUCAAGUCAUCAUGGCCCUUACGUCCGGGGCUACACACGUGCUACAAUGGGCCAUACAGAGGGCAGCGACCUGGCAACAGGGAGCCAAUCUCAAAAAGUGGUUCACAGUUCGGAUCGGGGUCUGCAACUCGACCCGUGAAGUUGGAUUCGCUAGUAAUCGCAGAUCAGCAAUGCUGCGGUGAAUACGUUCCCGGGCCUUGUACACACCGCCCGUCAAGCCAUGGAAGCUGGGGGUGCCUGAAGCCGGGUAACCGCAAGGAGCCGUCUAGGGUAAAAACCGGUAACUGGGGCU